GACGAACGCUGGCGGCGUGCUUAACACAUGCAAGUCGAACGGAAAGGCACUGCUUUUGUGGGGUGCUCGAGUGGCGAACGGGUGAGUAACACGUGAGUAACCUGCCCUUGACUUUGGGAUAACUUCAGGAAACUGGGGCUAAUAUCGGAUAGGAGCUCCUGCUGCAUGGUGGGGGUUGGAAAGUUUCGGCGGUUGGGGAUGGACUCGCGGCUUAUCAGCUUGUUGGUGGGGUAGUGGCUUACCAAGGCUGUGACGGGUAGCCGGCCUGAGAGGGUGACCGGCCACAUUGGGACUGAGAUACGGACCAGACUCCUACGGGAGGCAGCAGUGGGGAAUAUUGCACAAUGGGCGGAAGCCUGAUGCAGCAACGCCGCGUGCGGGAUGACGGCCUUCGGGUUGUAAACCGCUUUCGCCUGUGACGAAGCGUGAGUGACGGUAAUGGGUAAAGAAGCACCGGCUAACUACGUG
rnacentral:rRNA from 1 species